rnacentral:rRNA from 1 species
CUACGGGGUGCAGCAGUGAGGAAUAUUGCACAAUGGGGGGAACCCUGAUGCAGCAACGCCGCGUGGAGGAUGACGCAUUUCGGUGUGUAAACUCCUUUUAUAUGUCAAGAAAAUGACGGUAGCAUAUGAAUAAGCACCGGCUAACUCCGUGCCAGCAGCCGCGGUAAUAUGGAGGGUGCAAGCGUUACUCGGAAUCACUGGGCGUAAAGGACGCGUAGGCGGGUUGGAAAGUCAGGUGUGAAAUCCUACAGCUUAACUGUAGAACUGCACUUGAAACUUCUAAUCUAGAGUAUGGGAGGGGGAGAGGGAAUUAGUGGUGUAGGGGUAAAAUCCGUAGAUAUCACUAGGAAUACCUAAAGCGAAGGCGAUCUCCUGGAACAUUACUGACGCUAAGGCGUGAAAGCGUGGGGAGCAAACAGGAUUAGAUACCCCCGUAGUC